UUUACUCCACAAAAGGGCUCUUAGAGACUGAUCUGCAAAGUGAGGAAAAAGACUUUUGAGGCCAGAUCAAAAGGAUACAUCCAGCAGAUCCAUUUUAUGUUACUUGUUUAUAAUAUUGAUGUAGAAAAGAAAUAAGGAACUACCACUGCUUGUCAGGCAUAUCAGCUCAGGAACUGAGACACAAGUAUAGUAUAGAUCUGGAGGUUUUCAGCUACCCUGUGUUAAGGGGAUCAACAUACCUUCUAAUAUUAUGACUUUGUUUCUGUAUAUCUAAAUAGACUUCUAAACAUAUUUGUUGGUAAAGGAUGAAAAUGUUCUCACUGUGGUGGAACCAUGGGAAAGAGAUCCUCCGUCCUCAGGAGAGGAUGCAUUCUCUGCUCUGCGUGACCCCUUCGAGGAAGCCCAUGAGCUGUGUCAGUUCUCUGGUGGGUGCAGCCCGGCCUCGGCGUGCUGGAGAGCUGCGAGGUCUGCUCUGCCCGCCACCUCUCGGGUU